AGCCAACCGUUAGUGUUGCUGUUGGAAUUCAGAACUUGGUUGUUGCAUCGAAACUACAUAAUAGUAAUGGAAGCAUAUGUCUUGCUGUCCUGAAGGAGCUGCACAGUUCUGCAUAAAACAUCUAUCAGAAAAGGCAUGUUCCAGCUAUUCACAGAUGCAUAACUUGAGGAGCCGCACAGUUCUGCAUAACUGGUUCUUGCAGUCCUUGAGGGGCCGCACAGUUCUGCAUAUAGACGAUCUAUCAGAAAAGUGACUGCACAUCCUGUGUUACAGUUUCACAAGGCUAACAAUUUGGGUGGAAGAGCAUCUCAUCUUCUGAACAAUAUAUCUACACCCAACAAUUAAUGUUUACAAGUUGGUUGGUAUUCAGAAGCAACCACGUAGCAGUGAGGCUCUGUCAUGGUGUCUCGGCGGAGAGUUUCGCAGUUGUGCAUAAUCGACCAUUUCAGCGGGAAGGCCUGCUCCCCUCCCUGUCGAUGAGCUCCAAAUCCUGAUGAAUCAAGACAGGAUAGCAGGGCAGCGCCUCCUCCACUAGCUCCAGACCUGGCGUUAUCUCCUCUGCUCUGGUCACAUUUGGCGCUCAUCGCCGCCGGCUCACUCCAUCUUCCUCCUCCUCCACUUGUCUUAUCCUCCCUCCCUCAUUGUUAGUGUACACGCUACAUAGUUUGUUACCUAUAGCUACCAUGUCAAACCCCACCUCCACUUCUCUUAUUCUCAAAAAAAAAUAGUCGCACUCUUAGGAAUGCCUCUUUACACUUCAUAAUUCCUCCUCCCACCGCCCAUCAUGCCAGAUCGACCCGGGAUCAGCGUGGCGACAACUUGGCAAAAUGAACCAUGAUGUUUCUGCAGUGUUGAUCAACACAUAAAUUCUUCCCUGCUGUAAACUUACUUAGAAAUGCUGGAGACUGUUAGUGCAGUUCAGUUAUUCCAGCCAGCAAGUUCAAGUGUGUUGUAAUGCUGCUUCAGACUGGCCGCAGCGAGCUGUGAGGCUUGGAGCUUUGCUUGCUCAUUGUUCAGACAUGUAAUUACUGGUGUUAAG